AGCAUAUCAAUAAGCGGAGGAAAAGAAACUAACAAGGAUUCCCCUAGUAACUGCGAGUGAAGCGGGAAAAGCUCAAAUUUAAAAUCUGGCGGUCCUUGCGGCUGUCCGAGUUGUAAUCUGGAGAAGUGCUUUCCGUGCUGGACCGUGUACAAGUCUCUUGGAACAGAGCGUCGUAGAGGGUGAGAAUCCCGUCUUUGACACGGACUACCAGUGCUUUGUGAUGCGCUCUCAAAGAGUCGAGUUGUUUGGGAAUGCAGCUCAAAAUGGGUGGUAAAUUCCAUCUAAAGCUAAAUAUUGGCGAGAGACCGAUAGCGAACAAGUACCGUGAGGGAAAGAUGAAAAGAACUUUGGAAAGAGAGUUAAACAGUACGUGAAAUUGCUGAAAGGGAAACRCUUGAAGUCAGUCGCGUUGGCCGGAACUCAGCCUUGCUUUUGCUUGGUGCACUUUCUGGUCGACGGGUCAGCAUCAGUUUUGAUUGUCGGAUAAUGGUCGAGGGAAUGUGGCAUCUUCGGAUGUGUUAUAGCCCUUGGUCGCAUACGAUGGUUGGGACUGAGGAUCUCAGCACACCUUUAUGGUCGGGGUUCGCCCACGUUUGUGCUUAGGAUGCUGGCAUAAUGGCUUUAAAYGACCCGUCUUGAAACACGGACCAAGGAGUCUAACAUGCAUGCGAGUGUUUGGGUGGAAAACCCGAGCGCGUAAUGAAAGUGAAAGUUGAGACCUCUGUCGUGGAGGGCAUCGACGCCCGGACCAGACCUUCUGUGACGGCUCUGCGGUAGAGCAUGUAUGUUGGGACCCGAAAGAUGGUGAACUAUGCCUGAAUAGGGUGAAGCCAGAGGAAACUCUGGUGGAGGCUCGUAGCGAUUCUGACGUGCAAAUCGAUCGUCAAAUUUGGGUAUAGGGGCGAAAGACUAAUCGAACCAU
rnacentral:rRNA from 1 species